GUAGGGAAUAUUGCACAAUGGAGGAAACUCUGAUGCAGCGACGCCGCGUGAGUGAUGAAGGCCUUCGGGUCGUAAAGCUCUGUCGCAGGGGAAUAACACAAUGAAGGUACCCUGUAAGAAAGGAUCGGCUAACUUCGUGCCAGCAGCCGCGGUAAGACGAGGGAACCUAGCGUUGUUCGGAAUCAUUGGGCGUAAAGCGGAUGUAGGUGGCUAUGUAAGUCAGAUGUGAAAGCCUGGGGCUCAACCCCAGAAGUGCAUUUCAUACUGCGUAGCUUGAGUGUCGGAGAGGUUACUAGAAUUGUUGGUGUAGUGGUGAAAUACGUAGAUAUCAACAGGAAUACCGGAGGCGAAGGCGGGUAACUGGCCGAACACUGACACUGAGAUCCGAAAGCGUGGGGAUCAAACAGGAUUAGAAACCCUGGUAGUCC
rnacentral:rRNA from 1 species